CGGUCUUUGGACCGGAAAUGACGUGUGGCUUCUGAGCAGUUUACACCACUGUGGAGCAGAGUCCGCUUGUGUCAGUGAAAGGUGGCCCUAGCUGGUGCCACCCCGCCCUCCAAUGGGACAGCGCUAGGACAACUUUGUCCACCUUCCUGUUAGCCUCCUGCACUGACAGCUGCUCGGGCUUCAGUCCCCAGGCAGACGCUAUCCAACAUGGGCAGCAGGUGUUGGGGCCCUCCUUGGAGAAUGUUGGCAGAAUUUGCUUGCACUAAGAGAGGAGCAGACUAUCAACCGGAACCGAAAGAGGCCUAACCCCAUCGCUCCCAUGCUGCUGGGCCUUUAUGCCGUCUGAUACACUGCACACACUGGAAGACACUCAAUUUCAGUUCCCAGCAUGUGGGUGCAUGCCCCCACACGUGUAACCUCUUUUCUGUACCAGUUAAGGCUGAAGGCCCAAGUAAAACACUACAGUCACUGACAGCCUCGGCACCGUUUUUCAAUAAAGUGCCACGGAGGAGGCAAACAGAGACAGGACUUAGAGUGUGAGAGCGAAAGAAGUGCGGGAGUUUUGCUCUUUCCCAGGAAGUAAGAAACCUGUUCAGCUUGAAUGCUACACGGAAAGAUCCAAGGAACAUAAUCUGUGGAAGGUGGACGCAUGCAAAGCAAAGUCUGGAAUUAGAAGACGUCCUAAUGUGGUCACUGCUUUGUUCAUUCUGCUCGAAUACGGAGUGAGGGGGGAAGGAAGACAGAGGGAGAGUGAGCCCCUCUGGCCAGCGCCUGUAGGGAGACAGAACCUGCACUCUCCAAAAUGCCAAGGCUUCUGUUGACCAAUAGUUCUCUGAAACUUGAUUAUCUGUUUAUCCACAAGGUGGCAGUUUUCUUCGAGGACUUCCUAAUCUGUAUCUCAGCGUCCUUUCUGGGUAUCGUGUAAAUAAACACACUUUUCUGGGGAA